rnacentral:piRNA from 1 species
UAAUGGUAGAUGAGGUCCGAGCCACCUC